AAAUGUGAUACAACUGUACAGAUGUCCUAAAGUAUUUUUAAAGAACAGUACAUCAGUUUUCCUAUUUCAUUACUUAGAAAGCUUUUUCAAAUCACUCAGUAACUAUGAGACUAAACCCUGAUCAGGUCAAUGAUAUAUUUAAUCAAAAUUUCAAACAGCAGCCAAGAUUCCUCAGUAAAUAGCCUUAAUUUAUUCUCAUCGGAGUCGUGACAAAACUCCUGAGCCCAUUUAUUUUCUCUAAAAUUUUCCAAAAUGGUGUCAUAAUAUGACUUACCAUAACAUUAUCAGGAUACAAAACUAUUACAAGCCCACUGUCAGCUUUGUAAGUUUUAAUAAACAUGCAUUUAACAUAUGCCUCUUUAUAUCCAAAUUUAUUUUUUGCAGGAAAAAGGUGCCAACACAUAGCUUUCCAUACAAAACACUAUAUUCUUUUAACCUUUCUGAUGCAGAGAAUUUUCUAGGUGAAGAAAAAUAUUAUUUGAGAAGUGACAUAGAUUUUGUCAUCAUGCAAUGGAUGGCAGCUAUGUUUGUGAGAGUCUUGACAGGUAAACACAUGACAUGUAUACACCACACAAGCAUACUGGAAGAUACAUUUGGUGUCUGGCUUUUCAGGUGAAAUACCAUUUAAAAGAAACAAUGCCAUUUGCCUAUUAGAAUAUGACUCAGAUUGGCUUUAGCACUGUAAGAAAUCAUCUCAUCUGGAAAUAAAAUGAAUUGUGAUCUGGGUGAACAUUGAACAGAUCUGUGGAACUUUAAGCUCCAGCUGUAUCUUUUCAUGUACAAUCUGAUGUCAAACCUGUAACUGAGACUCUGGAAACAGCCUAGGUGCACUCUACUUGCUGGGACUGAUUUUACUAGAAUCAGCUCAGGAAUUAACAUGGUCUGGACAACAGGACAAUCAAUUGUGAUUUAUUGUUUGGGGACUGGAAGCCUGCUUCUGCUCUCACCUUUCCCAGGGCAGGGUGAAGAGGUGAUUUCAUGUGCAGCCAUUUAAAAGGGAAAAGCAUACAGGGUACCUGUAAGCCUGAGGUGGGUUGCUCCAUUGGAAACUAUUUCUGUAGUCCAUCUGACUAAAAAGCUGACCAAGUCAGCAGACUGACACUGCUGGGAAAAUGUCAGUCCUAUUCCAUGUGCUCAGCUGGACCUUGCUGCACAUUGGGAGGGGAAAUAGCUUGUGGCCUUCACUAUCAAAUAUGAAAACCAGAGCAGCCCACCCAGUGAGCAAGGCUGGAACCAUACAUCAGUAUGUUUAGCACCAUUAACACAAGCAGAUUCUUGCCAAAUAUUGCCAUAUAUUGAAUAUGCUAGCUGAAAUACUAUAAAUAUCUGCAUACCAUUUUAAAUUAUGUGUUAUUAAAAUGGUUUAUAUAACAUCUCAUAAACGGCUUUAGAAUCUGAAAAAAAAUCCCACUAAACUGUGUUCAUUUCCAUUUCUACAUGUAAAUUGAAAAUGCUAGCCUUGCUGGAUCUUUCACUAGGGAACACAGCAUGUAAUGCAGUACAUGCCAAUCUCUAACCUUUUUCUAGCUUUUGGAAGUAACAACUGAAGUGCUUAUGUACAAACUCUCACAUCAGUUUGUAGACCCAAGCCCAUGUGAAUUGUCAGAAGAAAGCUCAAAGAAAAGGAGCAAAAUUCUUCUACCAUAAAAAAGACACAGGGAUCUAUGUUCUACUACAGUGAUGCAGACUUUUCCAGCUCCUAUAGAGAACAAAUAUAGCAUAACUCAAGCACAGCAUGUACUGCCAGUAUGCAGCAAAACAAUCUGCUUUCCUUCUGGAAUGGAUUGCUUCUGUGCUUUUUAUAAAAAACUUCUUCCUUAUUUGACUAAUUUAAUUAGUAGAAUCUCUUAAAUGUCUUUCUGUCAGGCAUGUCAUAUCCCUAAAUUCCUAAUGUUUCAUUUAUCUUCACAGAUCACAGAAUGGUGUGGGUUGGAAGGGAAUAUGAAGAUCCUCUAAUUCCAAACCCCCUGCUAUGGGCAGGGACACCUUCCACCAGGCUUCUCAAAGCCCCAUACAGCCUGGCCCUGAACACUUCCAGGGAUGGGAUGAUCCGAGAUGAGGAUGAGAAGAAGCUGUCACUGUAACUGCACCUGUGGCCCUGCACAGAGGCAUUUUCCUCCCAGCAUCAGCGGAUGCAGUUUGAAACUUCCCAGGAUCAUGCGAUUUCUCCUGACUAAUGUGGCUUUCUAAUUGGGAGGAGGGAGACAAAGAUGACAGAUUGCUAAAGGCUUUUAAAAAGAUGCUGCUUGAAAGAAUUAUUGCCCAUUGAUCUCAUAUUCAGCCAUUAAUAAGACUUUCCAAGCAAUGGUGUUUAAAAGCCUUGGUCAUAUUCUCCUGGCUGGUAACCACCUCCUCCUGAGCAGCGGCUGACAGAGAGCCAGGCGCUGCUGACACGGCUGCUAUCAGACAAUGACUUCAAGGCAGCCAGAGAGUCAUUUAGAUUUCUUAUUCUGCUUUCACUGCCACAGCAGCACAGACCUUGGCUUCUCCAGCACUACUGUAUCAUCUGCUUUACAAGCAGGCUCUGAGAACUACUUUAAAGCCAUUAAUCUGUUACUGUUCCCAGAUAUUUUUUGAUGCACAAUAUUUUGGCCAGUGGCAGGACUCGGCAUGGCGGGGUGGCAUGGGGCUGGGUCAGGGGCAGUUUGGGUUGGGUAUCAGGAGAGAAGUUUUCACCUUAGGGGUGGCUGAGUACUGGAGCAGGCUCCUUGGGAAGGGGGCCAUGUCAACAGACCUGUCUGAGUUCAGGAAGCAUUUGGAAAAUACUCUCAGGACUGUGAUGUGGCUAUUGGGGUGUCCUGCAUGGGGCCUGCAGUUGGUCUUGAUGACUCAGUUGGGUCCCUUCCAACUCAGCAUAUUCUGGGAUUCCAUUGUAUGUACCUAUUUUGUAUGGACUCGUGUCCUCAAGAGUUUGGGAAGUUUUACAGCCUGUGUAUAUUUCUGUAUCACUGCAUCUCUGACAUGGGAAUUCUCUUUCCUUUGCAUUUUACAGCAGGUGGCUGCACAUCACUGCCAUCGUGGAAAAGCUUUAGAAAAAAACAUUACAUACUAGACAAAGCACUGAAAUUCACUGUGAGCUCUGCACUGUUUACCCAUCAAAAGUGGACCUGCAAAUGCAGGUGAAAAGCUGAGCAGGUUCUUUCUGACAGAGAUGAAAAAUACUGGAAAAACUGCAAGUAAAAGUGGUAAACGUUACUUUCCCUGAAGGACAAGAUAAGAAGCCAGCCGGCUCUGCACCUGGAGUUUUGGGUGAGAAGUCACUCAUCAGACUAGGCUGAUGAUACAGUAAGGCUGCUUUGCUUUACACCAGUCACUAACUCACAGAUUUACUCCUUCAUUUAUAUUCAAAACUCAAUUAAUGAAACUAAUGCACCCAACUGAUAAACUAGUGAAAUAUUUCUGAUACAUUUUUGAAACCUCUUUAAAACAUUAGCUCCAAAUAAUCAACUUAUCUACCACAGAUCAUGUUAAUUCUUACUCCUAACGACACACAGUAAAACAUCUUUACUGAAAAGAAAGGCAAUCAAGAAACAAAAGGCAGUCACAUUAAGAAGAUGAAAAGAAAACUACACUGAGCAAUUCUUUCUAUUCCAGUGUUUCAAGAAAGUUGAUUCAUGACUUGAAGUUGUAAGAGGAGUACUGCAGUAUUAACCCUCUGUACAUGACUCCAGAGCAACAAAUACAGAGGAGGAUUAAAAAACAGACCUCAAAAUUUA